GGAGGCUCCGGUCGCAUCGGUCCUUUCGCCGACGGCCCCCGCGCCUGUAGCUUGAACGGACAGAAAGGUCGUCUUCGGUUUAUAAUGCCGAAGCACCUCAGCGGUCCCAUUAUCCCCACCGACAUGCUCCGGUCGGCUCAUAUGCCAUUUGUUGGACACCUGCAUGAGCCAGAUGGAGGAUGAUGAUGGUGUUUGAGCCUCGGCAGAAUUUCCCAGUGAUGACGGUGCUACUUUAACACCACAGUACUGUUGUGACAGUAUAAUUACUUGAGAAAAUGGGUCUGAGAAAACAGCUCAAAAAAAGAUGACCCCCCUACCAUCUUCAUCAACUGUUUGAAAAUCCUCAAGGUUAAAGAUUGGGGAGAUGGAACCAGAGAGAGAAUAUUGCAUCAGCUAUACCAAACACUGUUGAGCAGUCUAGGGAAGAAUUGAUACUUUGCAGGUAAUAAGCAAGACACUGAACACCUGAUGGAGAUUGGACCAGUGGAACAUUUCUCUCUUCUCCCUGAUGCCAAACAAACUCACUAGUCUAAAUAUGUCGCUAGUCAUAUUUAGUUUGCCAUAUCUGAUCACUGGCAGUUUUUCAUCUACCAACAGCAUUGUCUUGCACAUGAUACAUCAAAGCAAUGUGAAACUGCAUACUGUACAUCCAGUGUCUCAAACUGAUAUUUUUUUUUUAUUAUAAAUAAAGUGAUUCAAUUCAUCUCUGAA